CCUACGGGAGGCAGCAGUGGGGGAUAUUGCACAAUGGGGGAAACCCUGAUGCAGCGACGCCGCGUGUGGGAAGACGGUCCUCUGGAUUGUAAACCACUGUCCCCAGGGACGAAGAUGACGGUACCUGGGGAGGAAGCUCCGGCUAACUACGUGCCAGCAGCCGCGGUAAUACGUAGGGAGCGAGCGUUGUCCGGAUUUACUGGGUGAAAAGGGAGCGUAGGCGGGACUGCAAGUUGGGUGUCAAAUCUACCGGCUCAACCGGUAGCCGCACUCAAAACUGCAGUUCUUGAGUGAGGUAGAGGCAGGCGGAAUUCCUGGUGUAGCGGUGAAAUGCGUAGAUAUUAGGAGGAACACCAGUGGCGAAGGCGGCCUGCUGGGCUUUUACUGACGCUGAGGCUCGAAAGUGUGGGGAGCAAACAGGAUUAGAUACCCUUGUAGUC
rnacentral:rRNA from 1 species